ensembl:snRNA U6 U6 spliceosomal RNA
GUGCUUGUUUCCGCAACACAGAUACUAAAAUUGGAACCAUACAGAGAACAUUAAGCAUGAGUUCCCAAGGAUAACACAGAAAUUUGUAAAGUAUUCCACAUUUUU